rnacentral:lncRNA from 1 species
AACCGCCCCAGCCCCCUAAAGUCUCUUUUGAUUGCCUUCAGGCUUCUGUCUUCAAUGUCGUCACUGCCCGCCUGGACUAUCAGAAGAGGAUAAUAGUCAGAGGGGCGUACCAGGUUGGGAAGCUUCCUGGCAACGUCCCUGACCCUGGCCCCAGGGAGGCAACAGACUUCCCUACGGUAGAGCGUAAACCUUUGGAGGAACGUGUCACAGGAAAGAGCUCCUUCUGGAACUGUUCAGCACUCGGUGAAACACAGUGUACUAUACGGGACUUGACGACCAGAGCUGCUUUUGGCAAGGGGUGUUGUAGCUGGCCUAAGAGCAGAUGGAAGCAUCUGCCUCGAGGGGAGGUGAGGGCACGGAGGUGUCUCGCACAGGCUGAGUGGGGCCAAGCUGCACUCUGAAGAGCAGCACGAGAAGGGCGGGCUGGUUGUGAGCUGGAUUGGAGCAGAACUGCCGAGUAGCACGAGGUGAGUGCGAAGGGUAUCCAUCUUGCUUUGCAGGUGCCAUGGCAGGCUCUCCACA